rnacentral:lncRNA from 1 species
CAAAAUGGCCAAAAACCGCCCAAAAUUCACCCAAAAAGGCCAAAAUUCACCCAAAAUUCACCCAAAAUGGCCAAAAAUCGCCCAAAAUUCACCCAAAAUGGCCAAAAAUCGCCCAAAAUUCACCCAAAAUGGCCAAAAUUCACCCAAAAUGGCCAAAAAUCGCCCAAAAUUCACCCAAAAUGCCCCAAAUUCACCCAAAAUUCACCCAAAAUGGCCAAAAAUCGCCCAAAAAUCACCCAAAAUGGCCAAAAAUCGCCCAAAAUUCACCCAAAAUUGGGGUUUUUGUGACCCUGGGAUACCCAAAAUUCACCCAAAAAGUCCCAAAUUCACCCAAAAUUGGGGUUUUUGUGACCCUGGGAUACCCAAAAUGCCCAAAAUUCACCCAAAAAGUCCCAAAUUCACCCAAAAUUGGGGUUUUUGUGACCCCGGGGGUCCAAAAAUGCUCCAAAUUCACCCAAAAUGUCCCAAAUUCACCCAAAAAGUCCCAAAUUCAACCAAAAUUUACCCAAAAUUCACCCAAAAUUCACCAAAAAUGCCCAAAAUUCACCCAAAAUGGCCCAAAUUCACCCAAAAUUCACCCAAAAUUUGGGGGUUUCAAACCUGGGACCCCCAAAAUUCCCCAGAAAAAAUUCGGGGAGGGGUCCCGGGAGGUUUUGGGGGGUCCCAGAGCCCAAAUUUGGGGAAAUUUUGGGGAAUUUUGGGGGUUUUUGGGAAAAUUUGGGGAUUUUGGGGGGGUCUUGGGGGUCACAGACCCCAAAUUUGGGGGAAUUUUGGGGUUUUUAGGGAAAAUUUGGGGGGUUUUGGGGGGUCCUGGGGGUCAGAGACCCCAAAUUUGGGGGAAUUUUGGGGAUUUUAGGGAAAAUUUGGGGGAAUUUUGGGGGUCCUGGGGGUCAGAGACCCCAAAUUUGGUUUUUUUGGGGGGGAAUUUGGGGGAUUUUUGGGAAAAUUUGGGGGAAUUUGGGGAUUUUGGGGCGGUCUUGGGGGUCACAGACCCCAAAUUUGGGGAAAUUUCGGGAUUUUUGG